UCAUUGUUUUUGCUGUUGUUGUUGUGCUUCGAGAGGAGUGGAAUUGAACAGUUCACCUUCAUUUUGUCGUGUAAGUAUUAUAUCCUCAUUCCAAAUGCCAUUUACCUUGUAAUUUCUGAGUAAUCUAAUUACAACUUUCUGGUUCAAAGUCUCUUUGAAGAUUGAAAAUUAUUGUUAGAGAAGAAUUUGAGUUUUGGCCCCUUUUGUUUCCAUCUUUAGUCUUUUUGCUAUUCGAAUUUUUCAUACUUAAUUUAACCUUCAAUUGGUUAGUGUUAACUCCAAUCUUCAACUGGAAUAGCUAAGUUUAGCAAUUAUAUAUAUGUUGUUGGUGUAUGAUGUUUGCCAGAGGGUUCGUUUGCCUCUAAGUCCAUUUUUUAUUGGAAGCAAAACUUUUGUUACAUACAUGUUCUUUUUAACAAAAAUUAUAUUUAAAUGAAAACUUAAAGAAUGAAUACGUCCCUUUAGUAAUAUCUCCUUAUACAUAAUUUUGGCAAAAAUCGUCUAGUUGUGAGUUCGUCUGCAUGUUAAAUGCUGUUAUGGUGCCAAAACAUUCAUAUUGUUCAAGUGACUUUUAUAGUCUGGUCAAAGACAUGUCGCAUUCCACGAAGUUUGUAAAGUGGUGAAUACCAGUAAGUUGGAGAAACAGAUUUGUACAGUAGAAGAACUUGUAUCCAAAUUAUAUGGUGGCUUCUAGACAUUUGUUAGUUUUAAUACAAGUUCUUGUUAGUUACAGAUUAAUACCAUGUAGCUAAUAUGCUUAUUUGUGCGUUCAUGUCACUCAUUUUCUAAAAUGAAGCUAAUAUGCUUAUUUGUGCGUUCAUGUCACUCAUUUUCUAAAAUGAUUAAGUGACGUAGUUGCUUUAGGUGCGUUAUUUUAAUAAUUUACCUUGUUAAACUCGAGUGUGCAUUUAUGUGACCCAACUCCACAUCCCAACGAUGUUAAAAUAUAUCAAAAGCCACGGGUGCAUUUAUGUGACGUGGUUCGAGAUGUGUUUUGACGACGUUGCAAUAUUCUUUAAAAAAUAUAUAAAAGCGGUUAAAAGUUAAAAUUUUCACAUAGGUACAAAAUGCAGUAAAAUCAGAUAAUCAAGCCAAGUAUAAUAGCUGAGCGACCGUGCUAGAGCCACGGAACUCGGGAGUGCCUAACACCUUCUCCCGGGUAAACAGAAUACCUUACCUGAAUUUCUGGCUCGCAUACUGUAUACAGAGUCAAGGCUUCCUUGAUUCGGGAUUUAAACUGGUUACUUCGGACACCAUUAAUUAUCCCAAGUGGCAACUCUGAAAUCAUUUCAAAUAAAUAAAUUCCGUUUCGAUUGUCCUUUAAUUGAAAAAACUCCCUUUCUACGCCCUUCGGGGGGUGUGUAUGUAAAAAAGGAGGUGUGACAAUUAUUAUUGAUGUUAUUUGGGAUGUUUGGUGAUUGUUUGGAAUUUUGUGAAGUCAUAUAUAUAUAGGGGAGGUGCUAUCCGUUUUAUCGUAAAAUAGGUUGUGGUCGAUACAUAAUAGUUGUGACGCAUGAAUGAUAACGAUAGUAUAUUAGUAUCUUUUCUCUUAUUGUAGACUAAGGAGUUAUGACAAUUGCAUAGCUUGAGAUUGGGGCAAUAUAUACAAGGUAUUUGAGGCUAUCUCUUUCCUUUUUUUGCACGACUCUGAUUGUACAUAAUGUAAUGAACGAGUUUCCAAAGAUACUCUACUCUUAAAAACUAGCAGUACUUAUAUUGUUUCCCCUCUUAUAGAAUGAUUGAUGUUAAUGUUGCUUCUCUUAUUCUUAUGUUAUCAAUGUUGUUGGUACUUCCUGAUUCUUAUAAGGUUCAUAGUGAAGAGUUUGUCCUAAUAAUGUUUACAGAGGAUACCGAUCUUACGUCACUCUGAAAGGUUUAUUACGUGAUUCCAUGAAUCGAGCAUGAAUGUUAUAUAUAUAUAUAUAUGUAUGUAUGUAUGUAUAUAUAUAUAUGUAUGUAUCUAUUUUACUCUACCGAGCCGCGCUAUAGUUGGUCGGGUACAACAUCUAUUGUGCAACCACUAAUCAUUUGGAUUUUACGGAGCUUCACAUGGUCGGGUACGAUACUAGCGAGCCUUAUGAUGGCCGUAUACGUUUUUUACCGACCCUAUUAUGGUCGAGUACAAUAUAAUGAUGAUGCUCACAAAGGCAUAUGUUUUAAAAGUUUAUGUAUCUAUACAUAUGUAUCAUGCAUUUCAUGUCAGUAGCCCACACUGGUACGCAAAUGUUACAAGUUGUAUAUUGUCUAUCCCUGCUUACAUUACUGUUCGUACUUAUGGUUCCCCGCCUUACAUGCUUAGUACUUUAUUCGUACUGAUGUCUUUUUAUUUGUGGAUGUUGCAUGUCAUGCUGCAGGUCCUGAUAGACAGGUGCAGCUCCCCCACCAUAGUAGGUUGUCCAGUUCAGCAGUGAUUGGCGAGAUCCCUUCUCCAGACUUGCCGUUGUCUUGGUAUGCAUUUGUUAUAGACAUUAUGGGGUAUGUCGGGGCCCUGUUCCAGCUACGUUGCAACACUUAUGUUCCUUUAAAGGCUCAUAGACAUGUGUCAACUUAUGUAUAGUUUGGUAGGCCUUGUCGGCUGAAUUUUUGUUAUAUAGUCUUUCAUGGCAGCGUGGUAGCUCAUACCUUAUAUAUAGUUUCCUGAUUAUCUGGUCAUACCAUGUUAUCUAUGUUCACG
rnacentral:lncRNA from 1 species